rnacentral:lncRNA from 1 species
CAGACAAACACCUGUGGAGUCUUUCGCAGUACCUGUGGUUUUAUCUGCUUUCAGGUCAGCAAAGAAACAGAAUCCAGAGUUGUGAGCUCUGCACUGUAAAUGUCCCUGAAUCCUGCACUUCGUGAGGAAGCAGCAGUAGCUCCACUGCAAGUCAGUGCUACCUAUGUAGAACUUGAGAACAUCUCUUGCAUAUCUGUCUCCAGGAUUCCCUCCCCUGCAGAACCAUUUCAUAAGGUGAAAAUGUAGGACAAAUAAACAAGAAAGAGCAGCUGACA